rnacentral:rRNA from 1 species
GCGAUUCGCCCUUCGGGGUGCAGCAGGCGCGAAAACUUUGCACUGCGGGAAACCGUGAUAGGGGAACUCCGAGUGCCCGUUACUUCUGGUUGUCCUCCAGUUUACAUUAAUUGGUGAAGAAAGGGCCGGGCAAGACCGAUGCCUGCCGCCCCGCUAAUACCGGCCGCUCGACUGAUGGCCACUAUUACUGAUCUUAAUUCAUUCGUACCUAGUUUGUUAAUUCUCUCGCUAAAUCUUCCUGCUUAACUCAGACGGCGUCUCACGGAUACAGACUGACUAGCUACCGACAGAGAUAAGGGGUACUCCCUGCGUAGGAAUGAAAUCCUGUAAUCCUUGGUGGACCAACUGUGGAUAACGAACCUCUCCAAAACGACUCCGACCGAGAGGGACGAACGCUGGGGGAGCAAACCAGAUUAAAUACCCGGGUAGUCCCACCUGUAUACAAUGCACGUUAGGUGUAUCGGUGACCACGAGUCACCGAGGUGCCUAACAGAAAUCAUGAAUCGUGCCACCUGGCAAGUACGGUCGCAAGGCUGAAACUUACUUGAAUUGGCUGGGGAGCAC